ensembl:lncRNA
UAUUUUUCCGAGGCUGCGGGCAGGUUUUGUUCCAAGCGGAACAAUGCUCUGAGGGGCGAGGAGUUUCCCCCGGCCCCGGCUGGCACGCAGGAGCUGUGAGGAGCCGGCCGCGCUCGGCACAGCAGGGCCGCGUCCCCCCGGGCCGGGAGCCCGCGGCUGAGGCGGCUGAGGCGGAGCGUGUUUGCCUCGGCCGCUGGCCGCCCGCCAGGCCCUGAUGUUUCCUCUCGCCCUUGUUCGCAGAGGCAUUCAGGAAAACAAUCGGGAGCGAUGAGGGCUUUCCCGUUCCGGCGGCGCCGGCCAGCGCAGCCCGGCCUGGGGACCUGCCACCAGCCAGCUCCGCGCUGGGGCUGGGCGACGGGAAGUGCUCAGGGGAUUACUGUGAGAUAAAAAAAGCCCUCACCGCGGUGGGAAGAUGGGUAUAUAGUCUGUGCAUGAAGCAGGCUGUCCAAGGUGUCAUCUGUGCCGAGGAAAUCCUGUGGAACACAAACUAAUAAGGUAAUGAUCAGAUAACCUGACAGAAUCUAACUACAGGAACCUGUUUUGGAAGAAUUAUAGCCUUAAGGGCAGAGCAGAGGCAGAUGAGUUUCUUCCUACACAUAGCUUUGAAGAAUGAACUCAGUUUCAUGUUGUACAUCUAUCAAAAGGUCCUUUGCUGCCCAUUGAACACAGCCCAGACCUUUGAGAAUAUUCCGUUUCCCAAGAUGAAGAAAAAUAAUCGUUCCAAUGUGUAUUUGAGAUUCUGCUGUCAGAGGCUUUUCUGCUUUCACUCAGGCUCAGUCCUGAGAUGGCUGUUAACUUCAGUAAAGACCUGCCAGCCUCAAACAACACCCUCUUUCUUCGCAUUAGAAAUGGAAACACGUCCUCUGCAGGAAUUUUCCACUUAAUAGCUCCUGCUUUCCUACCGGGGGCCUCAGUGCACCACCACUGCAAUGCUGUAUUUCUUUCCACUGCAGUUUGACAUUUUGCAGCCAGAACAAGGAACGGCAUUCACUCCAUCCUGAUUUUUGAAAAACAUAUCUCUAUAGGCCCACAGAAUGCACCCAGUGCAGCAAUCACCAGGGGAAAAUGGCAAAGGUAUUUAAACAUCUUUACAUGUCGCCAAGACUAUGACACUGUCUGGUAAAAAUGCUCAUUUAUACAGUUGCUUUUCCUUACUCCCCAUUCCUCCUCCCUCCAACCCUUUAUAUACACACAGACACCAAACCUCUGCCCUGCUCUCCCAUCACCAGCCACUCUCUCAUUUUACACUUCUAAUUGUUUGCCUUUGUGAAUUAUUUCCUUUGCAUAAUAGUUGCAAACUGUGUAUCAGGUCCUGACACUGUGAGGAGCAGAAAUGCACAUUGCAGGUAAUCAGAGCAGUAAACAAGGAGCCUGCUUUAAAAUGCACCAAGUGACCUGUCUGAAGGCAGCAAUAUUUGCAGAUUGUUUACUGCUGAGAUCCAGUGAUGUCGCUGAAAUGCAGCAGCUUGAAGAUUGGAGCAAAAUGGGAUCUCAGGCACUCGGUCAAGCACAACCUGUAAUUCUUUUAUUUAUUGUUCGUGUUCUGCUUUUUUUAAAGUUAGAGCUGUAUUAUAAAUUAUUAAAAGCUGUUUUCUAAAAA